UCAGCAGAUUUAACGUUUUCACGCUCAGUAGAAAUAAAUCCACGUUAUAGCCACAAAUACAAACAAUACACGUCAUUGACGAAUCAUGGUUACCAUGCGUCGUAAUCAAUAAUAAUAUUUAACACCUCCCUAUGUAAGUAUUGAGUAUGGAUGAAUCGUGAUUACCAUGCGUUGUGAAAGUAUUGAUUAUGGACGAAUAAUGAUGAUGGUGCGUCGUAAUCAAUAGUCAUCAAUAUAAGAUAUUCCUCUCCACCAAUAGUAAUACUUGGCUCCUCCCAGUGGACGUGGUAGCCAGCUAUCUUUCUCUUCCCAAUCGAUGACUGGUACAACUCUCUUGUGUUUAAAAGGACGCGUAAGGAGAACACUCACCAGGAGCGUUUAAUUUCAAGUUACAAUAUGUAUACUUCUUUAAUUCUGGUGUAUCUUGCGGUGGCUCUUACUUUUUCAAGUUGUACGGCACACAGAGGAAGAUGGUGGAACUCGCCGAGACGACCUGAAAUUGGCCUAAGAAGUUUACAUUGUGAUAAAGUUGAAAAAUUUGAUCUUUGUCGCUGCUGUCCAGUAGAUCCAUGCGAUAGCGUGGAAUGUUUGAACGGGGGGAACUGUGUAGGUGGUAUUUGCGAAUGCGUAUCUGGUUACAGUGGACCAACGUGCAACAUAGAUCCAUGUGAUAGCGUGGAGUGUUUGAAUGGUGGACAAUGUGUAGGUGAAGGUUUUUGUAAUUGUACCUUUGGUUUUGGUGGAACUACUUGUAACAUGAGAGUAUGUAACGUGACAGAGUGUACAGAAAGAAAUGAUGGACAAUGUAUAAUAUUAAGAUGUGAGACCAAUGCCACAAAUUGUGCAGGUAUAGCCUGUAAUACAACUAACGACGAAGUUUGUAUUGAUGAUACGUGUGUAGACAGAAGUAACAAUUGUGCUACUACUAUAGAUGGCAUACUUAACUUCUGUGCCUUUAUUGGUGAACCAUGUGGGGAAGGUACAUUCUGUGAUAAGAGUACAACUUGUGUAAAUGACACGUGCAGGUCUGUAGGUGCCUGUAAUGCGCAGAAUGAUGAUACAAAUUGCGCCUCCAUCACUUUUGGCUCUUGUUCAGGUGGAGUUUGUCUCGAACCAUGUAGUGACGAGAGUGAGUGUAAUGGUGGGCCAUGUAUUGGUGGAUUCUGUGCAGUCGUUUACUGUGGAGAAUCAUAUUGUUUCUUGAGAGCAAGCGACUAAUAUAUAAAAUUCAAUAAACUAAAUUGUAAUAUUUAAAACCUAUUAUAAGAUUUAACAUAAUAAAGUAUAUUGUUAUAUUUAACUACUUCUUUAAAAUAAUUAAAUGCUAUUUUGUUCUUUCUUUAUUAAUUGUAUUCAUCUAAACCAAGAAAUACAAUAAAUUCAUCUGUACUUCUUCAUAAAAACCAGAUAAACCAACAAGUACAAGAUAUUAAAAUGUAACCAAGAUUA